GGUUAAGCGACUAAGCGUACACGGUGGAUGCCCUGGCAGUCAGAGGCGAUGAAGGGCGUGCUAAUCUGCGAUAAGCGCCGGUAAGGUGAUAUGAACCGUUAUAACCGGCGAUACCCGAAUGGGGAAACCCAGUGUGACUCGUCACACUAUCAUUAACUGAAUCCAUAGGUUAAUGAGGCGAACCGGGGGAACUGAAACAUCUAAGUACCCCGAGGAAAAGAAAUCAACCGAGAUUCCCCCAGUAGCGGCGAGCGAACGGGGAGGAGCCCAGAGCCUGAAUCAGCAUGUGUGUUAGUGGAAGCGUCUGGAAAGGCGCGCGAUACAGGGUGACAGCCCCGUACACAAAAGCGCAUAUGCUGUGAGCUCGAUGAGUAGGGCGGGACACGUGGUAUCCUGUCUGAAUAUGGGGGGACCAUCCUCCAAGGCUAAAUACUCCUGACUGACCGAUAGUGAACCAGUACCGUGAGGGAAAGGCGAAAAGAACCCCGGCGAGGGGAGUGAAAAAGAACCUGAAACCGUGUACGUACAAGCAGUGGGAGCACCCUUUGGGGUGUGACUGCGUACCUUUUGUAUAAUGGGUCAGCGACUUAU
rnacentral:rRNA from 1 species